GGAGGGUGCAAGCGUUAUCCGGAUUCACUGGGUUUAAAGGGUGCGUAGGCGGGUUGGUAAGUCCGUGGUGAAAUCUCCAAGCUUAACUUGGAAACUGCCGUGGAUACUAUCAAUCUUGAAUAUAGUGGAGGUGAGCGGAAUAUGUCAUGUAGCGGUGAAAUGCUUAGAUAUGACAUAGAACACCCAUUGCGAAGGCAGCUCGCUACACUAUUAUUGACGCUGAGGCACGAAAGCGUGGGGAUCAAACAGGAUUAGAUACCCUGGUAGUCCACGCCCUAAACGAUGAUUACUCGACAUCAGCGAUACACUGUUGGUGUCUGAGCGAAAGCAUUAAGUAAUCCACCUGGGAAGUACGACCGCAAGGUUG
rnacentral:rRNA from 1 species